rnacentral:rRNA from 1 species
CUGGGAUAACUCCCGGGAAACCCGGGGCUAAUACCGGAUGGGUUGUUUGACCGCAUGGGUUCAAACAUAAAAGGUGGCUUCGGCUACCACUUACAGAUGGACCCCGCGGGCGCAUUAGCUAGUUGGUGAGGUAACGGCUCACCAAGGCAACGAUGCGUAGCCGACCCUGAGAGGGUGAUCGGCCACACUGGGACUGAGACACGGCCCAGACUCCUACGGGAGGCAGCAGUAGGGAAUCUUCCCGCAAUGGACGAAAGUCUGACGGAGCAACGCCGCGUGAGUGAUGAAGGUUUUCGGAUCGUAAAGCUCUGUUGUUAGGGAAGAACAAGUACCGUUCGAAUAGGGCGGUACCUUGACGGUACCUAACCAGAAAGCCACGUGCUAACUACGUGCCAGCAGCUCGCGUCGUAAUACGUAGGUGGCAAGUCCCGUUACGUCCGGAAUUAUUGGGCGUAAAGGGCUCGCAGGCGGUUUCUUAAGUCUGAUGUGAAAGCCCCCGGCUCAACCGGAGGAGGGUCAUUGGAAGACUGGGGAAUCUUGAGUGCAGAAGAGGAGAGUGGAAUUCACACGUGUAGCGGUGAAAUGCGUAGAGCAUGUGGCAGCGAACACCGAGUGGCGAAGGCGAUCUCUCUGGUCUGUAACUGACGCUGAGGAGCGAAAGCGUGGGGAGCGAACAGGAUUAGAUACCCUGGUAGUCCACGCCGUAAAC